UGAGCCUCAUGCCCUGGAGACACCUGGU
rnacentral:piRNA from 1 species